GACGAACGCUGGCGGCGUGCUUAACACAUGCAAGUCGAACGGUGAAGGGGUCUGCUUUUGUGGGCCCUGGAUGAGUGGCGAACGGGUGAGUAACACGUGAGUAACCUGCCCCCUUCUUCUGGAUAACCGCAUGAAAGGGUGGCUAAUACGGGAUAUUCUGGGUCUGUCGCAUGAUGGGUCUGGGAAAGAUUGCGCCUUUGGGUGUUGUUGGUGGGGGAUGGGCUCGCGGCCUAUCGGCUUGUUGGUGGGGUGAUGGCUUACCAAGGAGGUGACGGGUAGCGGGCCGAAGGGGGUGGACGGUGAGACUGGGACUGAGACCCGGCCCAGAGUGCUACGGGAGGGAGCCGUAGGGAAUGUUGCAGAAUGGGCGAAAGCCUGAUGGAGCGACGCCGGGUGAGGGAUGGAGGCCUUCGGGUUGUAAACCUCUUUGGCCAGUGAAGCAGGCCUGCUCCUUGUGGGUGGGUUGACGGUAGCUGGAUAAGAAGCGCCGGCUAACUACGUG
rnacentral:rRNA from 1 species